CUUGGAGUGUGCCGCCAUCCUCCCCAAACACAUCUCGACUCUGAAAGUGACCCUAUGAAGGCUAUGACUGCUAAGCAGCAGGCAGAACAGGGCAACCAUGGAGAAGAUUGUAUGCUGAGAUGGAAGACCCAAAAGAUUGAAGCAGCCUGGAUAACUCGGGUACCACACAGAGGACAACUGCCCUAGAGAGUUGCCUUGACCCGCAAAAGACAUUGCCUG
rnacentral:lncRNA from 10 species